rnacentral:rRNA from 1 species
UACGUAGGAUGCGAGCGUUAUCCGGAUUUAUUGGGUUUAAAGGGUGCGUAGGCGGGCUUCUAAGUCAGCGGUAAGGAUUCGGGGCUCAACCCCGUCCGGCCGUUGAAACUGGGGGCCUUGAGUGGGCGAGAAGAAGGCGGAAUGCGUGGUGUAGCGGUGGAAUGCAUAGAUAUCACGCAGAACCCCGAUUGCGAAGGCAGCCUUCCGGCGCCCUACUGACGCUGAGGCACGAAAGUGCGGGGAUCGAACAGG